rnacentral:tRNA from 1 species
GGGCUAUAGCCCUCAGCUGGUUAGACAGCGCACGCGCUGAUAAGCGUGAGGUCGAUGGUUCGACGGUCCAUUUAGGGCCCA